CCCGCAGUAGCUCAAUGGCAGAGCGCGCGCCUGUAGAGCGCGAUGUUGCUGGUUCGACUCCGGCCUGCGGGA
rnacentral:tRNA from 1 species